GCAGAGCCCAUAGUGUGAUGGGGUCAGGUGGUUGCGCUAUGGGGCAGAGCCCCACGUGGGGGAGGUUAUGGGGCAGAGCUCCUCAUAGGGGUCGUUAUGGGACAGAGCCCAUAGUGUGAUGGGGUCCGGUGGUUACACUAUGGGGCAGAGCCCCACAUGGAGGAGGUUAUGGGGCAGAGCCCCACGUGGGGGAGGUUAUGGGGCAGAGCUCAUACUGUGAUGGGGUCCGGUGGUUACGCUAUGGGGCAGAGCCCCACGUGGGGGAGGUUAUGGGGCAGAGCCCAUAGUGUGAUGGUGUUCCGUGGUUACGCUAUGGGGCAGAGCCCCACGUGGGGGAGGUUAUGGGGCAGAGCUCCUCGUAGGAGAGGUUAUGGGGCAGACCCAGCGCUAUGGGGCAGUUGCAGCACUAUAGGGCAGACCCACUGCUAUGGGUCCCACCCUUUGCUAUGGGGCAGAUGCAGUGCUAUGGGGCAGACCCGGCACUAUAGGGCAGAUGCAACACCAUAGGGCAGACCCACUGCUAUGGGUCACACCCAGCGCUAUGGGGCAGACGCAGUGCUAUGGGGCAGAGGUAGCGCUAUGGGUCACACCCAUUGCUGUGGGGCAGAGGUAGCGCUAUGGGUCACACCCAGCGCUAUAGGGCAGAGGUAGCGCUAUGGGCCACACCCAUUGCUGUGGGGCAGAGGCAGCGCUAUGGGUCACACCCAGCGCUAUGGGGCAGACCCAGUGCUAUGGGGCAGGGGCAGCGCUAUGGGUCACCCCCGUUGCUGUGGGGCAGCGGCAACGCUAUGGGGCAGACCCAGUGCUAUGGGCCACACCCAGCGCUAUGGGGCAGACCCACUGCUAUGGGUCACACCCAGCGCUGUGGGGCAGACCCACUGCUAUGGGUCACACCUGGUGCUAUGGGGCAGACCCACUGCUAUGGGUCACACCCAGCACUAUGGGUCACACCUGGUGCUAUGGGGCAGAGGCGGCGCUAUGGGUCACAUCUGGUGCUAUGGGGCAGAGGCGGCGCUAUGGGUCACAGCCAUUGCUGUGGGGCAGACCCGGUGCUAUGGGGCAGAGCCAGCACUAUAGGGCUGAUGCAGCACUAUAGGGCAGACCCACUGCUAUGGGUCACACCCGGCGCUAUGGGUCACACCUGGUGCUAUGGGGCAGAGGCGGUGCUAUGGGUCACAGCCAUUGCUGUGGGGCAGACGCAGUGCUAUGGGGCAGAUCCAGCACUAUAGGGCAGACCCAGUGCUAUGGGGCAGACCCACUGCUAUGGGUCACACCCGGCGCUAUGGGGCAGACCCGUUGCUGUGGGGCAGAGGCAAUGCUAUGGUGCAGACCCACUGCUAUGGGUCACACCCAGCGCUAUGGGGCAGACCCACUGCUAUGGGUCACACCUGGCGCUAUGGGGCAGACCCGGUGCUGUGGGGCAGAGGCGGCGCUAUGGGGCAGACCCACUGCUAUGGGUCACACCCGGUGCUAUGGGGCAGACCCGGUGCUGUGGGGCAGAGGCAAUGCUAUGGUGCAGACCCACUGCUAUGGGUCACACCCAGCGCUAUGGGGCAGACCCACUGCUAUGGGGCAGACCCGUUGCUGUGGGGCAGAGGCGGCGCUAUGGGGCAGAUUCCCGUGGAGGGCGCGGUCGGUGGGGCAGCGCCGUG
ensembl:lncRNA